rnacentral:rRNA from 1 species
GAUUAACGCUGGCGGCGUGCAUAACACAUGCAAGUCGAACGAUGAAACUUAAAUGAUUUCUUCGGAAUGAACUUAAGUGGAUUAGUGGCGGACGGGUGAGUAACGCGUGAGUAACCUGCCUUACACAAGGGGAUAGCCGUUGGAAACGACGAAUAAUACCCUAUGAAACUAUCACUUCGCAUGAAGCGAUAGUCAAAGUGUUAGCGGUGUAAGAUGGACUUGCGUCUGAUUAGCUAGUUGGUGAGAAAAAAGCCCACCAAGGCAACGAUCAGUAGCCGGCUUGAGAGAGUGUACGGCCACAUUGGGACUGAGACACGGCCCAGACUCCUACGGGAGGCAGCAGUGGGGAAUUUUGCACAAUGGGGGAAACCCUGAUGCAGCGACGCCGCGUGAUUUAGAAGGCCUUCGGGUUGUAAAAAUCUUUUGUAUAGGAAGAAAAUGACAGUACUAUACGAAUAAGGUCCGGCUAAUUACGUG